rnacentral:rRNA from 1 species
GCAAGACGGAAAGACCCCGUGAACCUUUACUAUAGCUUGACACUGAACAUUGAGCCUUGAUGUGUAGGAUAGGUGGGAGGCUUUGAAGCGUGGACGCCAGUCUGCGUGGAGCCAACCUUGAAAUACCACCCUUUAAUGUUUGAUGUUCUAACGUUGGCCCCUGACCGGGGUUGCGGACAGUGUCUGGUGGGUAGUUUGACUGGGGCGGUCUCCUCCCAAAGCGUAACGGAGGAGCACGAAGGUUAGCUAAUCCUGGUCGGACAUCAGGAGGUUAGUGCAAUGGCAUAAGCUAGCUUGACUGCGAGCGUGACGGCGCGAGCAGGUG